rnacentral:lncRNA from 1 species
UAGAUUUUGCUCAUUCUGUCCUUUUCCUGUCCACCUUCCUCUCUAAAGGGUAAGCUGCAAGACAUCAGCUGCUGGUCCAGGGGGCUCCCAAGGAGCAGGCCCUGUCUCACGUCCUGCUCUCCUGCAGGAUGUCCUGCAGGCCCCAGGGAAACUCAGCUGUAUCCAAAGGCACAGAUGGAUUCAGAAAUCCUUGGUUUGCAGAGCAGACUUUUGCCAGGUCUUGCUUAACAUCCUCAGGACUCACCUGAGCCAGGCUGGCUCCAUGAAGACUUUGUGGUCAAGACUGACAAUCCUGUGCCAUGCACAGAACCUCCUUUAAGCAGGGUAUCACCAUGGCAACAGGGCAGACUUGGCUGCACAUGUGCACAGGAAGUUCCCAGCGCAGGGGUGCAGCUCCUGCUGUAGGACCAUCAGAGAGAUGACGAUUCAAAUCACCAUUCCUAACAGGUAACCACAAAAUGUAUUCUGUCAAUCUUAAGUAAAGAUGCAGUUAUUUUGUAAUGUUUUCCAUCCAUGGUUGGUUGAAUUGGCAGAUUUGGAACUCAUGAAUUAGGAGGAGCAACUA